CCCUCCCCAAAUACAGCCUCGCCACGACGGGGAAGGCUCCUGCCUGGCCGGGGUCCCGCCGAAGCCGGGCAAUCGUCUCACGUCCCAAGCGCUGGUGCCAUCGGGGGCCGCGGCUCCCGCUUCCCCGCCCCGAGCGGCACCGGGGCUGGGCCGGGCCGGGCCGGGCCGGGCCGGGGGUCCCUGCUCGCACCCCUCGGGGCCGCCCUGCAGUCGGGGUCGCCCCCCUCGGGGCCCCUGGGUGGGCACGGCCCGCGGCCGGACCCCGCCUGCUCCUGCGGGUCGUGUCCGGCCCGGCCCGAGCCCUUCCCUGGCACGGAGAGGCGGGAGGCGGGAGGCCGGGGCCGGCCCAGGCGGGUCCUGCUCUGCAAGGUCCUGCUCGCCCGCCUCCAGCGCCGGGCACUUCAGCGAGGACUGCGUCCGGGACCGGAACCAGGAGCCUCUGGUACCACAGCCAGGAUCAUGCCGGAGCCCCAGCUGCACCCCGUGUCCGCUCCCGGGGCCGGCGGAGAAGACGGUGCCUUGUGGUGGCGGCAGUUGUCAAGUCCGGACCAGGGGGCUGGAUGAGCCUGGAAUUGGCGGCUUAUUCCCAGUUCUUUUUUCAAAGCGAAUCUAGACCCAAUAAAAGCUUGUUCUUAAUGAAUUGCACAUCCUAAAGAGCGAGAAUUUCAUUAGCUAGGCAUAUGUAUUAAUUAAUAUGUAAAAUAAUAUCCUACAUCAAGUACAGAGCCCUAAAGGAAGGUGAGAUUGGGAUGGGAUGAUGGGGCUCACACACACGCCAGCACCACCACCAGUGGAUUCAAGAAAUAGCUUGACUCGUGACUCACCCAGCAGUGCCGGAUCACACACCCAGCUCCAACUGCAGGCGCUGCGCUCGGACUGUCUGCAUCCCCCUCCACGUCCCUGCCGCCUGCCUGGGAAAGAGAGCGGCAUGGGCCUCAGGCGUCAUCUGAACAUCAGACUCCAGAUGUGAGCUCUCCGGUGCCAAACAGAAAGCAGGCGAGGUUCUUUGAGUAGAUGUAAGCUCUUUUAUUAGACCCGCUGAGUAGUUGGGAAAAAGUUCUUGGCAAACUUUCUGGCGCAGUCACCCUUCAUCUGGCAAAGGGACUCUAUUGUUCUGAGACUCCAAGAAAUGAGAGAAGCUAAAAGCAUGACAGGAUCUCACUGAGAUGUAAAUAGGUAGAGAUUAGAAAGACAAACAGUAAAGCAGAGGGGAAGAAAGCAGGGGAAAAGGCUAAAUAGAAGGGCAGAAUCACUUCCUCCGAUCUGCUGGCAGCGCUCCUACCAAUGCAGCCCAGGAUGCCGUUAGCUUUCUUCACAACGCGGACGCACUGCCGGCUCCUGUUCAGCUUCUUGUGCCCUGUCCCCCCAGGGCCUUGUCUGCAGAGCUGCUGCCCAGCCCGUCACCCCAGCCUGCACGGGUGCAGGGGAUUGCUCCCGCCUCAGUGCAGGACUUUGCACUUGUCCUUGUUGAACCUCGCGAGAUUUCUUUUGGUCCAGUCCUCCAAUCUGUCGAGCCCUGCCCUCCAGGGCAUCUCCUGCUCCCCCCAGCUUGGUGUCAUCUGCAAACUUUCUGGGGUGUACCCCCCCCCAUCUUCCAGGUCCCUGAUGGAGACACUGAACAACAGCAGCCCCAGGACUGACUCCAGCAGGCCCAGAGCAGACAGCAGCUUUUGUGGCAAGUCCAUCAGUUCAGAGCUCCUCUUGGCUUUGAAGCUGAAGGGCAAGGACAUACAGAGACUUUCAGAGGCACACGCCACCCUUUGGGCCAAAGUCCCAGGGACUUUCAGUGGGAACACAGUGCCAGUUACACUUGCUUUAAAAGUCUCCCUUGGUUGCGGUGCCUGUGGGCGCUAUGGGGCUGGUUCCCAUGCACCGCAUUGAUGUGCUGGGCCUCAUUGCUGGCGGGGCACUCACCAUGGGGUUUGGCAGGGCUUUCCAAACAGCACCUACUUGCCCACCGACCACCCCACCCCUCACACCCCAGAGCUCAGCACAGGUCUCCCCCAGCAGUUCAGCCAGGGAAGGACACGGGUGUCCCCUGGACCACAUGCUGGAGACACGGCAGCUCCCCCCAUCCCAGCUUGGCUCCAUCAGACUCCAGCCUUGGGGCACAGACUGCUUCUACCCCAGCUGCCCGCGGCCCCUGGGAGCUAGGCUGGUCGCCAGCCCCCACUGAGCUGCACAACAUCACGGCCGGCCCCUUCUUCCAGGAAUCCCCUGACGCCGCACGAAUGCUCUGCUCCGGGCUGCUCAACCUUCUGGUGCGGCAGGCUGGAGGAGUGGUGCGAGACCUGUGUGCAGGCUGGAUCGGACCCCGUGCACCAGGAUGGGGCUCCCCGCUGCCUCCACUCAGCCUGCCACUGGAUGGGGCCCCACACCACCUUCCUCGCCCCCAACACAGGACUGGGCCCCUCACUUGAAACCGGCUACACUUUGAAAGAUGAAACUUGCAGCAAGAACCAAAGAAAAAAAAAACCCCAAACAAAAAUAAAAAUUAAAAAAAGGAGGGAGGUCCCUGACGACCAGAAUGGGCUUUGGCACUUUGUUUAAGUGUCACAUUUUAAAUUUCAUUGCAGAACAACAAGAAAGAUUUUUAACCCUCCCUGCCUGCCCCCUGCCACGUCCAGGGGAGGAAUCCUACCUGGUCUGCACAAGGAGCAACUGAGAACAACUCCCAGAGUCACUCUCGUGCACCCAGAGGGACGGGCUUCCAUCUCCAGCUCCCUCCGUGCAAAAAUCACACUCCUUUCCUACCUAUGGGGACUAUGUACCAGCUUCCAUUUCCCCUGAGCCUGAGGAAGGGCCUUUGACCUCGAAAGCUUGCAGAAAAAGAUCUUUUUUUUUUUUGCCACUUCCUAGUUGGUCUAAUAAAAGCUAUCAUUUCUGAA